CAACGGUGUUAGGGGUGCCCUUGCAGAAAGGGCUGAGAGUACACCCUAUAACUUGAUCUGGAUCAUGCCAGCGAAAGGAAACACUGCUCGCGUUUA
rnacentral:ncRNA from 1 species